rnacentral:lncRNA from 1 species
UAGGUGAAAUAUAUUCAGUGGAUAAAGAAAAAUGACAUAUUUUAUAAUAAUUUUCUGUACAUUUUCUUCCACAGAACAAUGACCUUGCUUUCACUAAAGGCUGAUUAUGUGUUUGUUUUAUAAAUCUAGGAGACCAGUUGCAUUGAAAUACCUAUCUCUAAUCCAAAAGACAAAAUUAUUCACAUAGAUGUGAUAUUAACAAAUCCUGCCCUGAGUGGACUCCAGAAACUUGUACUGAAUCCACUGGAAACUACUAAGUACAUUGUGUGGUAUUCUCCGGCAACUACAGGCUAUAAUGAAGAAAGCAUUAUUUUUCAGCCUGAAAUGGGUGAAGAGUUCUGGUGUUUACUGAAAUUAACCACUGAACUUCCAAAAAGAAAGGAAAUACCGGAAAUAUACUGUGACCUUGGAAAGCAUGUCAUUCAGACCAUUCCCUUAUAUAAUCCUACACAUGAAACUUUGGAAUUGCAAGUAACAAACAGUAAUCCUGGAAAUUUUGUCCUGGAAAUUAACAGAACAUUACCAUUUGAAGAAUGGAAAUUCUACCUCCUUGGAGUAGGACUAUUUCCCCAGCCUAUAGAAAUAGCAGAAAUGACCACAUGCAUUGGUCAUCAGUCAUCCAUCAUUAUACCUUUCAAAAAUCCCACCAAGGAAGAUGUGUCUAUCAACAUCAUUCUAACAAAUGAAGAACAGCCUAGACACCUUGUCAGUGACAACUGCUGGGAUAGCUUCAUAAAUGAGAAUUCUGCCUUCCAACUUUGUUCUCUGUGUCAUAGACAAGGAAUCAUGUUGCCUCCUGAAGGAAAUGUAGAUAUCCCAGUGUUAUUUGUACCCCGAAAUAUGACAUUGUGCAAAACAUUGGUCAUUGUUCAAGUGAUGAGAGCAAAUGGGGAAAAUUGGACUGUUGACAAUUUUGAUGAAUUAGAUACAGAAUUUAAAAGAAUUAUGGGAAUAGACAAAGAUGAAAUCCGAGGAAUACACUGGAUAUAUCCUAUUAUUGGACUCCCACAGGCACCACUCCCUAAAAUUCCUCCAACUGUCAUACAAUGUAAGUCUAAGAAGAAGGUAGAAAUGACGCUGGAAAUCAAAUUGAUUGGUCAUUUUUUUGGACAAGAUUCUACACCGGAAUCAACACAAUUUUUAGUGAUUCCAAAAAGAAGUUCAUAUUGUAAUGUUUCUGAAGAUUACACUGUAGUUCCCAAAAUACGUGUAUUCAAGUAUGAAAUAGAAUUUGAAUCUGAAAUCAUGAAGUCUAACUUGGAAUCCACUGUGGAUUUAUAUUUGAGCACACAAUGUUAUGAUAUCCAAAAUGAGAUGAUAUCAUUGGUCUUCAAGCUAGUAUUUACACCACAGAGACCAUUCAGGACUAAUGCUGCAUUGAAAAUAGAGAGCAUAAAAGAUGGAAUCUGGAAGUUUCCCUUGAUCUUGAUGGCUACAGAUCCUGAUAUGGAGGAAAUUAUUAACAUACGAGGAGUUGGUUUACAAAAGGAAUCUACUAUGAACUUUAGGCUGACAAGUCCCACAAGGUACUUUAUCAAACAAAAGUAUAUAACUAGCUUUAUGAGUGUGAUUUAUGCUGAAUUCAAACAUUUAAAAUAGAAAACUCUGCAGGUCAUCUUUUAUUA